AUUGAACGCUGGCGGAAUGCUUUACACAUGCAAGUCGAACGGUAGAGGGGGCAACCCCUUGAGAGUGGCGAACGGGUGAGUAAUAUAUCGGAACGUGCCCAGUCGUGGGGAUAACGUAGCGAAAGUUACGCUAAUACCGCAUACGAUCUAAGGAUGAAAGCGGGGGAUCGCAAGACCUCGCGCGAUUGGAGCGGCCGAUAUCAGAUUAGGUAGUUGGUGAGGUAAAGGCUCACCAAGCCAACGAUCUGUAGCUGGUCUGAGAGGACGACCAGCCACACUGGAACUGAGACACGGUCCAGACUCCUACGGGAGGCAGCAGUGGGGAAUUUUGGACAAUGGACGCAAGUCUGAUCCAGCCAUUCCGCGUGCAGGAUGAAGGCCCUCGGGUUGUAAACUGCUUUUGUACGGAACGAAACGGUGAGCUCUAAUACAGUUUGCUAAUGACGGUACCGUAAGAAUAAGCACCGGCUAACUACGUGCCAGCAGCCGCGGUAAAGUG
rnacentral:rRNA from 1 species